ACGAACGCUGGCGGCAUGCCUAACACAUGCAAGUCGAGCGCCCGUAGCAAUACGGGAGCGGCGCACGGGUGAGUAGCGCGUGGGAACCUGCCCAGAGGUUCGGGACAACCGCGGGAAACUGCGGCUGAUACCGGAUGAUGCCUGAGGGCCAAAGAUUUAUCGCCUUUGGAGGGGCCCGCGUCGGAUUAGGUAGUUGGUGCGGUAACGGCGCACCAAGCCAAUGAUCCGUAGCUGGUCUGAGAGGAUGACCAGCCACACUGGGACUGAGACACGGCCCAGACUCCUACGGGAGGCAGCAGUGGGGAGUAUUGGACAAUGGGGGCAACCCUGAUCCAGCAAUGCCGCGUGGGUGAUGAAGGCCUUCGGGUUGUAAAGCCCUUUCGGCGGGGACGAUGAUGACGGUACCCGCAGAAGAAGCCCCGGCUAACUUCGU
rnacentral:rRNA from 1 species